UCCGCGCACGCCCCGACACAGGUGCGCUGGCUUAGAAAGCUAAGGUGCUACGGGUAUACCGUAUGGCGAGGGAAUUCGGCAAAUUAGUCCUGUAGCUUCGGUAUAAGGGAUGCCUGCUGUUUUAAUGAGGAAUUGGGACAGCAGGUUGCAAUGACUAGGGGGUUCCGACUGUUUAAUAAAAACACAGGUGACUGCUAGUCCGAAAGGAUUUGUAUAGUCACUGAAUCCUGGCCGGUGCAGGUACCUAAAACUUGGGUUCAACCGAGCUAAGGGCCUGUUAACGCCGGGAGUAACUCUGACUCUCUUAAGGUAGCCAAAUGCCUUGUCGGGUAAGUUCCGACGCGCAUGAAUGGAACAACGAGAGCCCCACUGUCCCCGCCUACAACCCGGUGAAGCCACAUAAGGUGGACGAACAGUCCAUCAUCUUCCAUCGGGGAGAGAAGACCCCGUGGAGUUUUACUGCAGCUUGUACUUGCAGUAUAGUACGUAUUACAUAGUGUAUCUGGUAGCCAUGCCUGAAUUUCUUUGGGAAUUCAGUGAAGCGCCAAUGUAACACCAGAUUAUUCUUGCAGUACUUCUUAUCUGAUGCAAAUCAGAAACAGGUGCAGGUAGGCAGUUCGGCUGGGGCGGCACCCCUUUGAAAAGAUAUCAAAGGGGCCCAAAGUUUAGUUCAAACGGGUCAGAAAUCCGUUGAAGAGGGCAAAGCCAAAAACUAGACUGACAGGAUUUCCAAACGCACGGAAUUCUGAGACGAAAGUCUGGCUUAGCGAUCCUUCGUGUGCCCACUAUUGGGGCCCGGAGGUGACAGAAAAAUUACCCCAGGGAUAACAGGCUCGUCGCGGGCGAGAGCUCCUAUCGACCCCGCGGUUUGGUACCUCGAUGUCGGCUUUUCCUAUCCUGGUCCUGCAGCAGGGGCCAAGGGUGAGGCUGCUCGCCUAUUAAAAGGGAACAUGAGCUGGGUUUAGACCGUCGUGAGACAGGUCGGUCUCUGCCUGAUGGAAGCGCGGCUGUCUGAGGGGAAGUUGCUCUCAGUACGAGAGGAACAGCGCAACGUGGCCACUGGUCUACCGGCUGUCUGAUAAGGCAGGCCGGGCAGCUAAGCCGUUUGGAUUAAGUGCUGACAGCAUCUAAGCACGAAACCCAUCCCGAGACAAGACAGCCUUUCGUAAGAUGAAGGUUCGCAGAAGAAGACUGCGUUGAUAGGAUGGAUGUGUAGAUCACAAGCUUCGGCGAGUGACGUAGCAUGCCGUUACUAAUAGACCAACACAUCAGC
rnacentral:rRNA from 1 species